UACGUAGGGUGCAAGCGUUAAUCGGAAUUACUGGGCGUAAAGCGUGCGCAGGCGGUGAUGUAAGACAGGGGUGAAAUCCCCGGGCUUAACCUGGGAACUGCAUUUGUGACUGCAUCGCUGGAGUACGGUAGAGGGGGAUGGAAUUCCGCGUGUAGCAGUGAAAUGCGUAGAUAUGCGGAGGAACACCGAUGGCGAAGGCAAUCCCCUGGACCUGUACUGACGCUCAUGCACGAAAGCGUGGGGAGCAAACAGG
rnacentral:rRNA from 1 species